rnacentral:ncRNA from 1 species
AAGGUGCCAUAAGGCUCAAUAGGGAAUCCCGUGAAAUUCGGGAACGGUCCCGCCGCUGUAACCGGUGACGAAAUCUGUUGAUACGCCACUGUUCGAACGGAAUCGAAUGGGAAGGUGCAGAGAGUAGGGUGAUCCGGGAGUCAGAAGACCUGCCUUGAACA